GGAGAGGUGUCGGAGCGGUCUAACGAGAUAGUCUUGAAAACUAUUAAGAGCGCAAGCUCUUCGCGAGUUCGAAUCUCGCCCUCUCCGCCU
rnacentral:tRNA from 1 species